GCUCAAAUUUAAAAUCUGCGGGGUUUCCUCGCCGAAUUGUAGUUUGGAGAAGUGUUUUCUGUGCAGCUCUGGGUAUAAGUCCUUUGGAACAAGGCAUCAUAGAAGGUGAGAAUCCUGUUUAUGGCCUGGAAGCUCUGCGCGUUGUGAUACACUUUCAAAGAGUCGGGUUGUUUGGGAUUGCAGCCCAAAAUGGGUGGUAAAUGCCAUCUAAAGCUAAAUAUUGGUGGGAGACCGAUAGCGAACAAGUACCGUGAGGGAAAGAUGAAAAGAACUUUGAAAAGAGAGUGAAAUAGUACGUGAAAUUGCCAAAAGGGAAACGCUUGAAGCCAGUAUUGCCGGCGUGAACUCACCCCUUCACAUGAUGGGUGCAUUUUCGCGUCGGUGAGUCAGCGUCAGUUUGGCCUGCUGUAAAAGGGUUGGGAGAAGGUGACUCGGUCCUUCGGGGCUGAGUGUUAUAGCUCCCAGCAGAUGCAGCGGGCUGGACUGAGGACUGCAGCGCACCGCAGGGCGGAGCCAGUGGUUGCUAGGCGGGUCUUUUGCGUAGACUGCAUGCAGACUGCGCGAGGGGUGCCUGUCUAAUCGGCCAUGACGCUUCUUAUGUGCUUAGGAUGCUGACAAAAUGGUUUUAAUCGACCCGUCUUGAAACACGGACCAAGGAGUCUAACAUAUGUGCGAGUAUUUGGGUGGCAAACCCACAUGCGCAAUGAAAGUGAAAGAUGGGAUCUUUGGAGCACCAUCGACCGGUCUUGAAAAUUUCUAUUUGAUGGAUCUGAGUAGGAGCACAUAUGCUAGGACCCGAAAGAUGGUGAACUAUGCCUGANAGGGUGAAGCCAGAGG
rnacentral:rRNA from 1 species